UACGUAGGGGACAAGCGUUGUCCGGAAUUAUUGGGCGUAAAGCGCGUGUAGGCGGCCAAGUAAGUCUGACGUGAAAUCCUGAGGCUCAACCUCAGGCCUGCGCGGGAUACUGCUUGGCUAGAGUACGGAAGAGGAGAGUGGAAUUCCUGGUGUAGCGGUGGAAUGCGCAGAUAUCAGGAGGAACACCCGUGGCGAAGGCGGUUCUCUGGGACGGUACUGACGCUGAGACGCGAAGGCGUGGGGAGCGAACAGG
rnacentral:rRNA from 1 species